AGGAGCCAGUCUGCACACGGCUGUAAACUGCAAAACUUUAAUUUUCACAAAAGAAAUUCCAUGCUUCAGUCAGGGACGUGCGUCAGGCAUAUUUCUGAAGAUCCUUGACCAAAACAUUGCAGUGCUCCUGUUAACUGAAAAAAUUAAAAAAAAAAUAAAUUAAAAAAAGUUACAGCAGCGUGCAGGACUGACUCAUCCUUCAGAUUCCACAGAUGAGAAAAUAUUCUCUUUUAAUGUUUGUGAUUUAUUCCUUUUCUCAGUAUAAAUAUUUUCUGGCUGUAUGCACUUUUGCAAUAAUGACACAAGUAAAGUAAAGAAGUCUGAAACCGGUGAAUAAAAAUCCUUAGUUGUACAAGUUUACUAUUCAUACAUCCAAAAAGAGUCUAUGAUAUAUGUUUUUGAAAAGCGGUUUGUGUUUGUGGUUAGUAUCAUAAGCAGCAACAAGCAGGAUAAUCAUCACAAAUUAGCCUCUAAUCCAGUAAAGCUAAUCUAAUUAAUCCGAGAACGAUGCUUGGAGUGGCUGUGUAUCCUCACAAAACCCCAGACGAACAACACUUGAUUAUAAAAAUGAUCUUUCCUUGUCUGUUUCACCCCAUUAUCCUCAAUUUUACUUGGUCCUGUAUUUGAUUUGAUUUAUUUAUUUUCUGUCCCAUCCUCACCAGGCCGUCUCUGACCAUGAAGGAGGCGAUGACAUGUCGGAGGAGUCCAAGUCUGGCUGCUCAGACUCAGAAGGAUCUGAGGUGAGGGGGAUUAUGGGAAAUGAAAAUCCCAGCGAGCUGGAAGAGUUGAGGGUUAAACGAUCUUAGUGCAAAUCCAACCAAAGCAAAAUCCAUCCACAUGCGUUUCUCCUGGGAUCUUGUUACAUUUUGGACAUAUUGAUAUUGAUUUAAAUAUUUGUAUGAAUAUUUUUUAACAUUCACCUGAACAUUUAUAUAUUUAUAUUAUAUCUUUUAGCAUCACCCCAUUUCAGGCUCACACACAAAUGUGCAUUUAUACCUUAGAGCUGCACAGUACAACCACAAUCUGUACUGCUGGACACUCCAUUUGUGCAGCUGGAGGCUAGAUGACUUGCUCAAGGGCACAUCAGCAGUAGCUGUUGUGAUACCACUGCUCAGGUUUUCCUCCGUCUGCUGGACUCUUUUUGGUUUCAUUUCAUUUAAAGAGGCCAAUUGGUUGAUGAUUGAUUGAAGUGAGCAACAACACACAGUGCAAUGCAGCUUACAUGCAGUUAGUUGCAUGUUGUAAAUUAAACUUUUAUUGUUGCCAUGUCACCAAAACCCAUAUGGACCAAUCCAAAUGAUGCAAAGCAGCAAAACCAGCUCAGUUGCAUGAAAAACAGGAAAAACUUUCACAUGUAACCUCGGCCUUAGAUUCGACUCACAAAAAAUAUUUCUCUCUUCUCUUAUUUGAUGUUUUUCCAUUUGAUUCAAAGGUUCCUCAAUUCAUUCAACUCUGAGCA